rnacentral:rRNA from 1 species
AGCAAAGCUCGUAAGGGCGCUGGGAGAUGGGCCUGUGGCCGAUUAGCUCGCUGGUGGGGUAAGAGCCUACCAGGGCAACGAUCGGUAGCUGGUCUGAGAGGACGAGCAGCCACACUGGGAUUGAGAACGGCCCAGACUCCUACGGGGGGCAGCAGUGAGGAAUUUUCCGCAAUGGUCGCAAGACUGACGGAGCAACGCCGCGUGCCGGAAGACGGCCUUCGGGUUGUAAACGGCUUUUCCCAGGGACGAGCAAGGACGGUACCUGGGGAAGCAGCCCCGGCUAACUACGUGCCAGCAGCCGCGGUAAGACGUAGGGGGCGAGCGUUGUCCGGAGUUACUGGGCGUAAAGGGCGCGCAGGCGGUGUGGCGCGUUUCCGGUGCCAGUUUUUCGCUUAACGAAGAGCAUGCCGGGAAGACGGUCACACUUGAGGCCCUCAGAGGGACAUAGAAUUCCGGGUGGAGUGGUGAAAUGCGUAGAGAUCCGGAGGAAUACCAAAGGCGAAGGCAGUGUCCUGGGACGCGCCUGACGCUGAGGCGCGAAAGCCAGGGGAGCGAACGGGAUUAGAUACCCCGGGUAGUCCUGGCCGUAAACGAUGACCACCAGGUGUGCGGAGUAUCGACCCU